AUUGAACGCUGGCGGCAGGCCUAACACAUGCAAGUCGAAUGGUAACAGGAAACAGCUUGCUGUUUCGCUGACGAGUGGCGGACGGGUGAGUAAUGUCUGGGAAACUGCCUGAUGGAGGGGGAUAACUACUGGAAACGGUAGCUAAUACCGCAUAACGUCGCAAGACCAAAGAGGGGGACCUUCGGGCCUCUUGCCAUCAGAUGUGCCCAGAUGGGAUUAGCUAGUAGGUGGGGUAACGGCUCACCUAGGCGACGAUCCCUAGCUGGUCUGAGAGGAUGACCAGCCACACGGGAAAUGAGACACGGUCCAGACUCCCAGGGGGGGGAGCAGGGGGAAAUAUGGCAAAAUGGGCGCAAGCCUGAUGCAGCCAUGCCGCGGGUAUGAAGAAGGCCUUCGGGUUGUAAAGUACUUUCAGCGGGGAGAAAGGGAGUAAAGUUAAGACCUGUGCUCAUGAACGUUACCCGCAGAAGAAGCACCGGCAAACUCCGU
rnacentral:rRNA from 1 species